UGGAUUUUCAAAAUUCGCAAUACAAUUGACAAUAAAAGUCGAGGUAUAACUGUUGAUCUUCUGUAUGAACUUCACACAGAAUACACCUAUGAUUGCCACUUACAUGUUGAUAUCAGCAGGUGAUAAUUAUGUGUUCCGUCACCCUUGCAGAUUUGUAUGGCCAAAGGCCAGUAGCUAGUGGUUCAGCACCCUGGUUUUAUUAAUGCCAGUGGCAUAUUGAUUAAAUUAUCAACUUGAUGUUUGUUGUGUUGUGACUUGUGUUCUGUUCUUGUUAUAUCUUUAGCAAAUGUCACAUUGACUGCUACAUACAAUAUCAAUUGAAAUAUAUUUCUUUAUAUUUGCUUUAUUAUAUAAAAUUUGUUUCAU